UACGUAGGGUCCAAGCGUUGUCCGGAAUUACUGGGCGUAAAGCGUGCGCAGGCGGUCUGUUAAGACAGAUGUGAAAUCCCCGGGCUUAACCUGGGAACUGCAUUUGUGACUGCAUCGCUGGAGUGCGGCAGAGGGGAUGGAAUUCCGGCGUGUAGCAGUGAAAUGCGUAGAUAUGCGGAGGAACACCGAUGGCGAAGGCAAUCCCCUGGACCUGUACUGACGCUCAUGCACGAAAGCGUGGGGAGCAAACAGG
rnacentral:rRNA from 1 species